AGUGAACGCUGGCGGUAGGCCUAACACAUGCAAGUCGAACGGCAGCACAGUAAGAGCUUGCUCUUACGGGUGGCGAGUGGCGGACGGGUGAGGAAUACAUCGGAAUCUACUUUUUCGUGGGGGAUAACGUAGGGAAACUUCCGCUAAUACCGCAUACGACCUACGGGUGAAAGCAGGGGAUCUUCGCACCUUGCGCGAUUGAAUGAGCCGAUGUCGGAUUAGCUAGUUGGCGGGGUAAAGGCCCACCAAGGCGACGAUCCGUAGCUGGUCUGAGAGGAUGAUCAGCCACACUGGAACUGAGACACGGUCCAGACUCCUACGGGAGGCAGCAGUGGGGAAUAUUGGACAAUGGGCGCAAGCCUGAUCCAGCCAUACCGCGUGGGUGAAGAAGGCCUUCGGGUUGUAAAGCCCUGUUGUUGGGAAAGAAAAGCAGCAGGUGAAUACCCCGCUGUUCUGACGGUACCCAAAGAAUAAGCACCGGCUAACUUCGUG
rnacentral:rRNA from 1 species